AUUGAAGUCGCUUGCCACGUUUCGGCAUGCAAAUCCAAAGACUGCGGAUAACGGACAAGAAUAACCUUCCAUUCGACACACAGAUACAGCCUCAGAAAGGUUCAUCUGGAUCGUUGAAUGGUUGUGGCUUGUGCUUGGUGCUAGCAUUGUCAGCUGUCUCUUUCUGCAUCCAGACAAUAAGAUCCACUCUGCUGACCUUGGCAUUGACUUAUCACAGGUGUUGAAACAGGAAUUCUGUUUUUUUUCUUCUUCUGGAAAUUGUGGUCUCCUAAAGGGGAAGCCGUGAAGUCUGCACAUUACACCGUGAUCAAGUGAUAUGAUCAAG